CGAGAGGAGAUAGACCAUGAAUCAAAAUUCGCUUAAGGGGAGGUAUGGAGCGGAACGGGCUCAGCGCAUGGGCACGGGCUCAGUUGGGGUUAGGUCACCGCCUUUGUGAAUUUGCGUGCCCCGUGGGUGCGGCGGAAUCGAGCGUCCCGCGGCGCCUGCGCCUCCACGUUUCAUAGAGGAGCAAACUGAGGCAGCUCAGGCUCCUGUGGCUGAGGACUGGAGGAUUCGAACCCAGGGCUUCCUGAUGGUUGGAAUGGGGCCAGUGAUGAUGAAGAUAGUUGAAAUAUAAUGAUAAAAAUAUAAACAACAUUAAGAACCCCUGGUGAAAAUGUUAUCUGCUUCCAGAGAAAGAACUGAUGGAGUCUGAAUGGAAACUCGCUGUUUCUCACUUUGUUUUUUUAAUGUUUUUUUCCCCUUCGAGUCUGUGUCUUUCACACCUGACUAUGGGAACCUGGUCUGCUCAUUGCACGCGUCUAACCCACAUCACAUCGCUCCCUGGAGGGAGGCUGGCAGCGAAUGGGGACCCAAAUGCUUUUUAAAACGAAUGUUAAAGUGGUCUGCACUUGUGACUGGGGGAAAUCAAAGUAAUUAGUGAAUUGGCUUAAUUAGGUGAAGCAUCCCCCCCUUGGGAGAAGUAUCCCAAAGGGCAGCCGCUGGACUGGCCUGGUUCACCACUUGUGUCCGGCCAAGUCUGCGGUCAGGCCCCAGGGACCUGCAUAUUGGCGUCCUGGGCCCUCUGUCCGCAAUCUGAAUGACCAUGGCAGACUUGGUCCAGGCCUCACUGCAGAAAAGAGGGCCCGAGCAGCCUAGGACAGCCAGCCUGGCUUAUAGAGGUGCCUGAAAGAGGAAGGCCCCCUGAGAGCCAGCGUAGUGAUCUCAAGAACAGACAGACUUCUCAUCAUUCCCUGGGCUGCUAAUCAUGUCAGCAGGAGGGCUGACAGAACGGUGGAGGGCCGGCUGGAGAGGGCUAGCUGAAGGACUCGGUGGGGUCAGCUGGGAGCAGCGAAGAGUUGUGAAGGCUUUGUAGUUCAGACCAGAUCAGUAAAUGUGGAUUCCUGGCCUCCUUGGGCACAGAUAUGGAGAUGGAAGAGUGGAUGGCCUCACAGAGCCGACUUUUGGUUGGGGAUGCACCUGUAAGAUAGUAUGAGGAGGGAAGGAACAGGAGCCCCCGAGGAUGAGAAGGUCGAGCUUCCCGUAGCUGGGAGCACUUGACGCAGCCUUACAGGACACUCAAGGAGAUGAUUGAUGUUCAUCUCUGUCUUGGGGUAUAGGUUGUGGCAGGAUAUGGGGGGGGGCCUGGCUGGAAUGUCAGACUUGGGGAAGGACUAGCAGGUCAGUUUGAGUGGAAAGCAGUUAACCCCAGGGGAAUACUUUGAAAAUUUGGAGCUACAUUGUGAAGGGCUGUAAAUGUAAGGCUGAAGAGUGUAUACUUUACCCAAGAGGCAGUUUGCAGCUAUUGAAGGUUUUUUUAGGUCAGUGACGUACUCAUACCUGUGUCUUAGAAAUAUUAAUUAGACAACUGUGUGAAGGUUGGGUUGGAGGUGGAGUAAACCAGAAGCAGGGAGAUUUGUAAUAGUCCCAGCCAGAAGGUGAGGCUCCAGUUGUGUGAGUGGAGAGGAGGGGGUGCCGGUGAUGUUCUGAUGGUAGAAUGGGCAGGGCUGGCAAUGGAUGGAAUAUGGCGGGAGGGUUCAAGAGGCCGACAAGGUUGUGACUCCGGGUCUGAAAGGACCCCAGCUGACCAGGAGCCCUCUAUAGACAAGUUCAUGUUCCCAAGAUGCUUUUGAGGGAAAGAAUCUUCCCUAAGUCUGACCCAGCUGGCUGCCUCUCUGGGUCAGUAGCGCCCUCUGCAGGAAUCGGGAAGAGAUUUUAACAUUUAUUUCCAUAAGAUUUUUGAGUUCCAAAUUUUCUCUUCUCCCUCCCUUCCCCCCUCCCCGAGAUGGCGUGCAAUUCGAUGUAAACUAUACAUAUAUAGUCAUAUUAAACAUUUUCACAUCAGUC